GAUGAAGAACGUAGCGAAAUGCGAUAAGUAAUGUGAAUUGCAGAAUUCCGUGAAUCAUCGAAUCUUUGAACGCACAUUGCGCCCCCUGGUAUUCCGGGGGGCAUGCCUGUCCGAGCGUCAUUGCAACCUUCAAGCGCGGCUUGUGUGUUGGGUCUCGUCCCCCGUGGACGGGCCCGAAAGGCAGUGGCCGCGUCCCGACAUGGUGCCCGAGCGUAUGGGAAUCCUCUUCCGCUCGAAUCGGCCCAUGCGGCGCUGGUCGUAACCAAAUUUUUUACCGGUUGACCUCGGAUCAGGUAGGGAUACCCGCUGAACUUAAGCAUAUCAAUAAGCGGAGGA
rnacentral:misc_RNA from 1 species